UACGGAGGAUGCGAGCGUUAUCCGGAUUUAUUGGGUUUAAAGGGUGCGCAGGCGGCGCGUCAAGUCAGCGGUUAAAAUUCGGGGCUCAACCCCGUCGUGCCGUUGAAACUGACGUGCUCGAGUGCGGCGGACGGCGCCGGAAUGCGUGGUGUAGCGGUGAAAUGCAUAGAUAUCACGCAGAACUCCGAUUGCGAAGGCAGGCGCCGAUGCCGCCACUGACGCUCAUGCACGAAAGCGUGGGUAUC
rnacentral:rRNA from 1 species